UACGUAGGGUGCGAGCGUUGUCCGGAAUUAUUGGGCGUAAAGGGCUCGUAGGCGGUUUGUCGCGUCGGGAGUGAAAACCAGGUGCUUAACACCUGGCUUGCUUUCGAUACGGGCAGACUAGAGGUAUUCAGGGGAGAACGGAAUUCCUGGUGUAGCGGUGAAAUGCGCAGAUAUCAGGAGGAACACCGGUGGCGAAGGCGGUUCUCUGGGAAUGACCUGACGCUGAGGAGCGAAAGUGUGGGGAUCAAACAGG
rnacentral:rRNA from 1 species